rnacentral:rRNA from 1 species
AGUGGCGAACGGGUGAGUAACACGUGGGCAAUCUGCCCUGCACUCUGGGACAAGCCCUGGAAACGGGGUCUAAUACCGGAUACUGAUCCGUCUGGGCAUCCAGACGGUUCGAAAGCUCCGGCGGUGCAGGAUGAGCCCGCGGCCUAUCAGCUUGUUGGUGAGGUAGUGGCUCACCAAGGCGACGACGGGUAGCCGGCCUGAGAGGGCGACCGGCCACACUGGGACUGAGACACGGCCCAGACUCCUACGGGAGGCAGCAGUGGGGAAUAUUGCACAAUGGGCGAAAGCCUGAUGCAGCGACGCCGCGUGAGGGAUGACGGCCUUCGGGUUGUAAACCUCUUUCAGCAGGGAAGAAGCGAAAGUGACGGUACCUGCAGAAGAAGCGCCGGCUAACUACGUGCCAGCAGCCGCGGUAAUACGUAGGGCGCGAGCGUUGUCCGGAAUUAUUGGGCGUAAAGAGCUCGUAGGCGGCUUGUCACGUCGGUUGUGAAAGCCCGGGGCUUAACCCCGGGUCUGCAGUCGAUACGGGCAGGCUAGAGUUCGGUAGGGGAGAUCGGAAUUCCUGGUGUAGCGGUGAAAUGCGCAGAUAUCAGGAGGAACACCGGUGGCGAAGGCGGAUCUCUGGGCCGAUACUGACGCUGAGGAGCGAAAGCGUGGGGGAGCGAACAGGAUUAGAUACCCUGGUAGUCCACGCCGUAAACGGUGGGCACUAGGUGUGGGCAACAUUCCACGUUGUCCGUGCCGCAGCUAACGCAUUAAGUGCCCCGCCUGGGGAGUACGGCCGCAAGGCUAAAACUCAAGGAAUUGACGGGGGCCCGCACAAGCGGCGGAGCAUGUGGCUU